rnacentral:rRNA from 1 species
AACGAACGCUGGCGGCAUGCCUAACACAUGCAAGUCGAACGAGACCUUCGGGUCUAGUGGCGCACGGGUGCGUAACGCGUGGGAAUCUACCCUCAGGUUCGGAAUAACUCAGAGAAAUUUGAGCUAAUACCGGAUGAUGACGUAAGUCCAAAGAUUUAUCGCCUGAGGAUGAGCCCGCUUAGGAUUAGGUAGUUGGUGAGGUAAAGGCUCACCAAGCCGACGAUCCUUAGCUGGUCUGAGAGGAUGAUCAGCCACACUGGGACUGAGACACGGCCCAGACUCCUACGGGAGGCAGCAGUGGGGAAUAUUGGACAAUGGGCGAAAGCCUGAUCCAGCAAUGCCGCGUGAGUGAUGAAGGCCUUAGGGUUGUAAAGCUCUUUUACCCGGGAUGAUAAUGACAAUACCGGGAGAAUAAGCUCCGGCUAACUCCGUG